GUGGGGAAUCUUAGACAAUGGGGGCAACCCUGAUCUAGCCAUGCCGCGUGAGUGAUGAAGGCCUUAGGGUCGUAAAGCUCUUUCGCUGGGGAAGAUAAUGACGGUACCCAGUAAAGAAACCUCGGCUAACUCCGUGCCAGCAGCCGCGGUAAUACGGAGGGGGUUAGCGUUGUUCGGACUUACUGGGCGUAAAGCGCGCGUAGGCGGAUUGGAAAGUUGGGGGUGAAAUCCCGGGGCUCAACCCUGGAAUGGCCUUCAAAACUCCCAGUCUUGAGGUCGAGAGAGGUGAGUGGAAUUCCGAGUGUAGAGGUGAAAUUCGUAGAUAUUCGGAGGAACACCAGUGGCGAAGGCGGCUCACUGGCUCGAUACUGACGCUGAGGUGCGAAAGCGUGGGGAGCAAACAGGAUUAGAAACCCCGGUAGUCC
rnacentral:rRNA from 1 species